GACGAACCGUGCGAACGUUAUUCGGAAUCACUGGGCUUAAAGGGCGCGUAGGCGGGCCGAAAAGUCAGGGGUGAAAUCCUCCAGCCCAACUGGAGAAGCGCCUUUGGUACUGUCGGCCUCGAGGGGUGCAGGGGCAUGCGGAACUCAGGGUGGAGCGGUGAAAUGCGUAGAUAUCCUGAGGAACACCGGUGGCGAAAGCGGCGUGCUGGACACCUUCUGACGCUGAGGCGCGAAAGCCAGGGGAGCGAACGGG
rnacentral:rRNA from 1 species